AUUGAACGCUGGCGGCAUGCCUUACACAUGCAAGUCGAACGGCAGCACGGGUGCUUGCACCUGGUGGCGAGUGGCGAACGGGUGAGUAAUACAUCGGAACAUGUCCUGUAGUGGGGGAUAGCCCGGCGAAAGCCGGAUUAAUACCGCAUACGAUCUACGGCUGAAAGCGGGGGACCUUCGGGCCUCGCGCUAUAGGGUUGGCCGAUGGCUGAUUAGCUAGUUGGUGGGGUAAAGGCCUACCAAGGUGACGAUCAGUAGCUGGUCUGAGAGGACGACCAGCCACACUGGGACUGAGACACGGCCCAGACUCCUACGGGAGGCAGCAGUGGGGAAUUUUGGACAAUGGGCGAAAGCCUGAUCCAGCAAUGCCGCGUGUGUGAAGAAGGCCUUCGGGUUGUAAAGCACUUUUGUCCGGAAAGAAAUCCUUGGCCCUAAUACGGUCGGGGGAUGACGGUACCGGAAGAAUAAGCACCGGCUAACUACGUG
rnacentral:rRNA from 1 species